UACAGAGGUGCCAAGCGUUAGGCGGAAUCACUGGGCUUAAAGCGCGUGUAGGCGGGUCGUUAAGUGUCUUGUGAAAUCCCACGGCUCAACCGUGGAACUGCUGGGCAUACUGACGAUCUUGAGGCACUCAGGGGCUGUCGGAACAAAUGGUGGAGCGGUGAAAUGCGUAGAUAUCGGGAGGAACACCAGUGGCGAAGGCGACUACCUGGCCUGUUCUUGACGCUGAGGCGCGAAAGCUAGGGGAGCAAACGGG
rnacentral:rRNA from 1 species